GAUGAACGCUGGCGGCGUGCUUAGCACAUGCAAGUCGAACGGGAUCCCAGGAGCUUGCUCCUGGGUGAGAGUGGCGAACGGGUGAGUAAUGCGUGACCGACCUGCCCCAUACACCGGAAUAGCUCCUGGAAACGGGUGGUAAUGCCGGAUGCUCCAGUUGGAUGCAUGUCCUUCUGGGAAAGAUUCUAUCGGUAUGGGAUGGGGUCGCGUCCUAUCAGCUUGAUGGCGGGGUAACGGCCCACCAUGGCUUCGACGGGUAGCCGGCCUGAGAGGGCGACCGGCCACAUUGGGACUGAGAUACGGCCCAGACUCCUACGGGAGGCAGCAGUGGGGAAUAUUGCACAAUGGGCGCAAGCCUGAUGCAGCGACGCCGCGUGCGGGAUGACGGCCUUCGGGUUGUAAACCGCUUUUGACUGGGAGCA
rnacentral:rRNA from 1 species